CAAGGCCCUGCUCACCUGGAAGUGCUGUGGUGCAGAGUCCCGGCGAGCCUUGCCCUGAGCUCGCCCGCGUGCCAGCGACAGCCUCUGCAGGUACUGCAGCCAUCCGGGGUCACGCUCCCUCUUGCAACGCUGCGCCUGGAAAACUGAAGGAAGAACACAGCAAGAACCAAGCUGUGAAAUUUCACCCUCUGAAGCUCCCGACGAGCGUGCCUGAACUGCUGGGAACACGUCUGCCCCAUUCCGACAUGCGGCGUGCCAGGGAUCCACGCGCUGCCAGAUGCCUCUGGUUAUUUGUUUUAACUGUUCCCUCAAUCUUACGCAUUUUACAAUGAAACAAUUAAUACUAUGGUGAACCUUGAGAGACGCCUGGAAGAGUCAGAACAGGUUUCUUCUGCAAGCGUGUAUGUUAUUGUCCCAUUUGCUGGGUUUGAACCAUGAAAUCCUACAUACAUUGUACUAUUAAAGAAGCAUUUUAAUGAAUGCUGCUACUCGAAGGCCUGUGGAAGGAGGGGGAAAGAUUAGUUUCAGAGCAGCAGAAAGGUUUUAGCGCUCAGACAAGCCUCCUGAGGUUUUCUGCUCACUGUCAGGGCCUAGCUGCGAUAGCAAGUGUAUUAAAAGACUGAUUCUGCCUCUUCUGGUUAAUGAACUGUUCAUCAAGGCAGCUCACCAUGCUAACAAAGACUGAUGAAGGCUGCUCCUGCACUGCUGGCCUCGCAGCAAGCAGAGAGCAUUGCCUGGGUCUCAGCAGAAAGCCAGGGAAGCGCUACAGAAUGCUGUUUUAAUUGACUAGGUAUGACCACAUUCUUCAACCUUUUACUGUAAGCAUAAAAGAAACUGAUUUUUAAAUCUGAGCAAGAUACUUGAUCUUCAUAAGCAAGGUAAGAAUUAGCACUUUGGCAGGAGCACCACGGCCCUUUUCUCCCUUUCAUUGGUUCAUUAGCAUGCACAGCUCCAGCCACCAGUGUUUGCUGCCAACAGGACCUGGAACUGUACAGCUCCCACUUUAUCUUCAGUUACAACACAUCUCCUUUCAACUACACACCAGUCAGUUGUGCUUUUCAGUACAAUUUCACUAACCUUUCAUUUCAGAAAGUUUCCCCUUCUGUCAUCACAGACAAGAAUGGUGGCCUCUGCUGUUUACCUGGGGGGUUUGGUGUGACCCAAAUCAAACCUGCCUAGUAGAAUGUGUUUCAGCAUUUAAGACAAAGACACCUCUGAAAAACACAGGCUGACUUAAAAAUACCUAGAAGACUAACUCGUUCAUACAAAGCCUUUGAAAAUUAAAGGAGAUAUUUAUCACUGCCUAGUAAAAAGCCACUACACUGACUAUGAAAUCACUUGCUAUAUAAUAUCUGUCUCAUGGCUUUUUCUGAAAAAGUUAACUAUCUCCUGAAAUUCCUAUCUGGUGUGUUGUCAAGCACUGCUCUGCCAUGGUCAGAACACAAUGCUCUAUCCCUUAAAUAAAACUUAAAUGGCUAUGACAAAAUAAAAAAAAAAUCUUCAAGAGCAUAUUAGGAGUUUUUAUCAAGCAAACAAUAGCAUGAAGCCACUUAGCUUUUCAAUUUCACACUCUGGGGCUCUCAUACAUCAGAAGCCUGUUGUCAAGUCUAAAUCCUGUAAUUACUCCUCACUUUGCUGACCUCAAUAAAUAGAUAAACAAGUGCUCCAAGGAAUGGCACCUUUUCCAAUACAAACUGGGCUGUAGCUCUCAAAGGAACCAGUUAUAAGCAGACCUGAGGUUAUUUACACACUGCAUUCCUGACCAUCUUGCGUCAAAGGCACGUUGACACUACUUUUGGACCCACCAGGAUACAGCCAGCUACCAACUGGGAUAAUGGUGGCAG